AGGGAAGCGAGCCUGCGAGGGGGAGCGAAUCCCAAAAAUAACGUCCCAGUUCGGAUUGUAGUCUGCAACCCGACUACAUGAGGCUGGAAUCGCUAGUAAUCGCGGAUCAGAAUGCCGCGGUGAAUACGUUCCCGGGUCUUGUACACACCGCCCGUCACACCAUGGGAGUCGGAAAUGCCCGAAGUCUGUGACCCAACCUACGGGAGGGAGCAGCCGAAGGCAGGUCGGAUGACUGGGGUGAAGUCGUAACAAGGUACC
rnacentral:rRNA from 1 species